UUGGAGGGCAAGUCUGGUGCCAGCAGCCGCGGUAAUUCCAGCUCCAAUAGCGUAUAUUAAAGUUGUUGCAGUUAAAAAGCUCGUAGUUGAAUUUCGGGAUCAUCAGGUUGGUCGUGCCAUUGGUAUGUACUAGCUUUGGUGGUUCCUACCUCUUGAAGAACCGUAAUGUCAUUAACUUGGUGUUGCGGGGAAUCAGGACUGUUACUUUGAAAAAAUUAGAGUGUUUAAAGCAGGCAAACGCUUGAAUACAUUAGCAUGGAAUAAUGAAAUAGGACGUUUGAUCUUAUUUUGUUGGUUUCUAGGAUCGACGUAAUGAUUAAUAGGGAUAGUUGGGGGCAUUAGUAUUCAAUUGUCAGAGGUGAAAUUCUUGGAUUUAUUGAAGACUAACUACUGCGAAAGCAUUUGCCAAGGAUGUUUUCAUUAAUCAAGAACGAAAGUUAGGGGAUCGAAGACGAUCAGAUACCGUCGUAGUCUUAACCAUAAACUAUGCCGACUAGGGAUCGGAUGAUGUUAAUUUUUUAAUGACUCAUUCGGCGCCUUACGGGAAAC
rnacentral:rRNA from 2 species